rnacentral:tRNA from 1 species
GACUUAAAUAAUUUGAGCAGAAAAUCCGUUGGCUUUAUUGACCGUGAGGGUUCAAGUCCCUCUACCCCC